rnacentral:rRNA from 1 species
AUUUUGGACAAUGGGGGAAACCCUGAUCCAGCCAUCCCGCGUGUGCGAUGAAGGCCUUAGGGUUGUAAAGCUCUUUUACCCGGGAUGAUAAUGACAGUACCGGGAGAAUAAGCUCCGGCUAACUCCGUGCCAGCAGCCGCGGUAAUACGGAGGGAGCUAGCGUUGUUCGGAAUUACUGGGCGUAAAGCGCGCGUAGGCGGUUUUCUAAGUCAGAGGUGAAAGCCCGGGGCUCAACCCCGGAAUUGCCUUUGAAACUGGAAAACUUGAAUCUUGGAGAGGUCAGUGGAAUUCCGAGUGUAGAGGUGAAAUUCGUAGAUAUUCGGAAGAACACCAGUGGCGAAGGCGACUGACUGGACAAGUAUUGACGCUGAGGUGCGAAAGCGUGGGGAGCAAACAGG